rnacentral:rRNA from 1 species
GGGUGGCGGGGUCUUACCAUGCAAGUCGAACGGUGAAGCCAAGCUUGCUUGGUGGAUCAGUGGCGAACGGGUGAGUAACACGUGAGCAACCUGCCCUGGACUCUGGGAUAAGCGCUGGAAACGGCGUCUAAUACUGGAUAUGAGCUUCUACCGCAUGGUGGGGGUUGGAAAGAUUUUUCGGUCUGGGAUGGGCUCGCGGCCUAUCAGCUUGUUGGUGAGGUAAUGGCUCACCAAGGCGUCGACGGGUAGCCGGCCUGAGAGGGUGACCGGCCACACUGGGACUGAGACACGGCCCAGACUCCUACGGGAGGCAGCAGUGGGGAAUAUUGCACAAUGGGCGGAAGCCUGAUGCAGCAACGCCGCGUGAGGGAUGACGGCCUUCGGGUUGUAAACCUCUUUUAGCAGGGAAGAAGCGAAAGUGACGGUACCUGCAGAAAAAGCGCCGGCUAACUACGUGCCAGCAGCCGCGGUAAUACGUAGGGCGCAAGCGUUAUCCGGAAUUAUUGGGCGUAAAGAGCUCGUAGGCGGUUUGUCGCGUCUGCUGUGAAAUCCCGAGGCUCAACCUCGGGCCUGCAGUGGGUACGGGCAGACUAGAGUGCGGUAGGGGAGAUUGGAAUUCCUGGUGUAGCGGUGGAAUGCGCAGAUAUCAGGAGGAACACCGAUGGCGAAGGCAGAUCUCUGGGCCGUAACUGACGCUGAGGAGCGAAAGGGUGGGGAGCAAACAGGCUUAGAUACCCUGGUAGUCCACCCCGUAAACGUUGGGAACUAGUUGUGGGGACCAUUCCACGGUUUCCGUGACG